AGAGGCUUCGGCAAUGGGGGCAACCCUGACCGAGCGACGCCGCGUGUGGGAUCGAAGGCGUUUUCGUUGUAAACCACUGUUCUAGGGGAAGAAUACCGCGAUGGUGAAUCGCGGGGCGACGGUACCCUAGAAGAAAGCCCCGGCUAACUCCGUCCCCGCCCCCGCGGUAAUACGGAGGGGGCGAGCGUUGUUCGGAUUUACUGGGCGUAAAGGGAGUGUAGGCGGCCGAUCAAGUCCGAUGUGAAAGCCUUACCGCUUACCGGAAGGAGGUCAUCGGAAACUGAUUGGCUAGAGUAAGGUAGAGGCGAGCGGAAUUCCUGGUGUAGCGGUGGAAUGUGUAGAUAUCAGGAAGAACAUCGGUGGCGAAGGCGGCUCGCUGGGCCUUUACUGACGCUGAGACUCGAAAGCGUGGGGAGCAAA
rnacentral:rRNA from 1 species